rnacentral:lncRNA from 1 species
AUGAUAAAGGUCUGUGUGUGGACCGUGUGUCUGUUUACUGCUCUGACUGUCGGGGUGAAGAGUCUAACACAAACAGGUUACGUUGGAAAAAAUGUAACAUUCCACUGCUCAGACUGGAAGGGUUUCAUUUGGAGUAAUGUGAAAUCUUACGUUAAGUACAUUUGUAACAACCCAUGUACAAAAGACGAACAUGUGAUCAUGAAAGUAAAACCUGGAGAGACUAAACAUGAGAACAGAAUAUAUUUAUUCAACAACGGAGUAACUUUGUCUGUGACCUUCAUUAAUCUCCAGAAGUCAGACUCUAGGACAUAUUACUGUGGACUGGAUGAGAAUUUACGAGAGUCAUUAAUAGAAGUGAACCUUAACGUUAGAGAUGCAUUGAUUCCUGGUCCACAGACAACAGUUAGAACAGUCAGUGUCUGGUCAAGCUCCACUGUGUCUUCAAACAGCAAAGAUAUUACUUCAGAUAUUUCACCAUUGUUCACCACACGUCAGUCAACAGCAGCUGCUGCAUCGGAAGCACAUAAAGAAGAAGGAAAUGGAACAGGAAGUGUCCUGUACUUGAUCAUUGGUUUCACUGUUGUAAUAACUACACUGGUUCUUCUAUUGUGUCUAAUGAUGAAGAUAAAGAAAGAGAGAAAGAAAAAGGUGUCUAAGUCUGGUUCACCAGAAGCCGUCGUACAACAGGAUGCCGACUAUGCUGAAAUCAGACAUGAAGACCACACUGAGAGGGCGUCUGCUGCUGACGUUUACCCAGAGACGCUCUAUGCAAAUUAUUCCAGCCAACAGGACACAGCACAGCAGGACAGGGCUUCACACGAUGCUUCUGCUUCUAGUCCCCACGUCAGACACACAGAUUCCCAGUUUGAAUGUCUUUACUCUGUCGCUCAACUUCCUGAAGAGCGGCCUGAGUGUGAAUCUGCAAUAAAUGACUCAAGAUGCACCAUCUAUAGCGUAGUUAAGCCAGCACAGAUAACAUGAGGACUACUAAUACUACAGAUGAAAAGUGCUACACAAACCUCUGGCACAGUCACACAUGAAGUCUAAUAGUAGGAGGAGAGCAGCCAGCGCAUGCUAGCAAAGUGUUUUCAACAUGUUGCUGUGUUCAGGGGUUAACAAGUCAUUUCAGCUUUUAUUUGUUAUUAUAAUAUAUUAUAUUUGUACGUACGUAAUAAUAUAAAAUAAAUACAUGCUGCAUUUUAUGAACA